rnacentral:tRNA from 1 species
GAAUCAGUAAGUUCUGAUGUUGCGGGAAUAGCUCAGUUGGUAGAGCACGACCUUGCCAAGGUCGGGGUCGCGA